rnacentral:rRNA from 1 species
AUUGAACGCUGGCGGCAGGCCUAACACAUGCAAGUCGAACGAGUGGCGGACGGGUGAGUAAUGUCUGGGAAACUGCCUGAUGGAGGGGGAUAACUACUGGAAACGGUAGAUAAUACCGCAUACCAUCAGAUGUGCCCAGAUGGGAUUAGCGAGUUGGUGGGGUAAAGGCUAACCAAUGCGACGAUCCCUAGCUGGUCUGAGAGGAGUACCAGUCACACUGGAACGUAGACACGGUCCAGACUCUGACGGGAGGCAGCAGUGGGGAAUAUUGCACAAUGGGCGCAAGCCUGAUGCAGCCAUGCCGCGUGUAUGAAGAAGGCCUUCGGGUUGUAAAGUACUUUCAGCGGGGAGGCGUUACCCGCAGAAGAAGCACCGGCUAACUCCGUGCCAGCAGCCGCGGUAAUAC